GCUGAAGCAACAAAUGCCCUGCUUCCAGGAAAAGCCUCUAAGCAUCAGGUAACACGAAAUCGUACCCCAAACCGACACAGGUGGUCAGGUAGAGAAUACCAAGGCGCUUGAGAGAACUCGGGUGAAGGAACUAGGCAAAAUGGUGCCGUAACUUCGGGAGAAGGCACGCUGACACGUAGGUGAAGUGAUUUACUCAUGGAGCUGAAGUCAGUCGAAGAUACCAGCUGGCUGCAACUGUUUAUUAAAAACACAGCACUGUGCAAACACGAAAGUGGACGUAUACGGUGUGACGCCUGCCCGGUGCCGGAAGGUUAAUUGAUGGGGUCAGCGCAAGCGAAGCUCCUGAUCGAAGCCCCGGUAAACGGCGGCCGUAACUAUAACGGUCCUAAGGUAGCGAAAUUCCUUGUCGGGUAAGUUCCGACCUGCACGAAUGGCGUAAUGAUGGCCAGGCUGUCUCCACCCGAGACUCAGUGAAAUUGAACUCGCUGUGAAGAUGCAGUGUACCCGCGGCAAGACGGAAAGACCCCGUGAACCUUUACUAUAGCUUGACACUGAACAUUGAGCCUUGAUGUGUAGGAUAGGUGGGAGGCUUUGAAGUGUGGACGCCAGUCUGCAUGGAGCCGACCUUGAAAUACCACCCUUUAAUGUUUGAUGUUCUAACGUGGACCCGUAAUCCGGGUUGCGGACAGUGUCUGGUGGGUAGUUUGACUGGGGCGGUCUCCUCCUAAAGAGUAACGGAGGAGCACGAAGGUUGGCUAAUCCUGGUCGGACAUCAGGAGGUUAGUGCAAUGGCAUAAGCCAGCUUGACUGCGAGCGUGACGGCGCGAGCAGGUGCGAAAGCAGGUCAUAGUGAUCCGGUGGUUCUGAAUGGAAGGGCCAUCGCUCAACGGAUAAAAGGUACUCCGGGGAUAACAGGCUGAUACCGCCCAAGAGUUCAUAUCGACGGCGGUGUUUGGCACCUCGAUGUCGGCUCAUCACAUCCUGGGGCUGAAGUAGGUCCCAAGGGUAUGGCUGUUCGCCAUUUAAAGUGGUACGCGAGCUGGGUUUAGAACGUCGUGAGACAGUUCGGUCCCUAUCUGCCGUGGGCGCUGGAGAACUGAGGGGGGCUGCUCCUAGUACGAGAGGACCGGAGUGGACGCAUCACUGGUGUUCGGGUUGUCAUGCCAAUGGCACUGCCCGGUAGCUAAAUGCGGAAGAGAUAAGUGCUGAAAGCAUCUAAGCACGAAACUUGCCCCGAGAUGAGUUCUCCCUGAGACUUAGAGUCUCCUGAAGGAACGUUGAAGACGACGACGUUGAUAGGCCGGGUGUGUAAGCGCAGCGAUGCGUUGAGCUAACCGGUACUAAUGAACCGUGAGGCUUAACCUUACA
rnacentral:rRNA from 1 species